GAUCAUUCCAGUGGCCCAAUGGUUAGAGCGUCCGCCUCGGAUGCGGAAGGUCGCGGGUUCGAACCCUGGUUGAGUCU